rnacentral:rRNA from 1 species
GCUAGUCGGCGGGGUAACGGCCCACCGAGGCGACGAUGCGUAGGGGUUCUGAGAGGAAGGUCCCCCACACUGGUACUGAGACACGGACCAGACUCCUACGGGAGGCAGCAGUGAGGAAUAUUGGUCAAUGGCCGGGAGGCUGAACCAGCCAAGUCGCGUGAGGGAAGACGGCCCUACGGGUUGUAAACCUCUUUUGUCAGGGAGCAAGAGGCGGGUCGAGACCUGCUGUGAGAGUACCUGAAGAAAAAGCAUCGGCUAACUCCGUGCCAGCAGCCGCGGUAAUACGGAGGAUGCGAGCGUUAUCCGGAUUUAUUGGGUUUAAAGGGUGCGCAGGCGGAGGCACAAGUCAGCGGUAAAAUCGCGGGGCUCAACCCCGCUCCGCCGUUGAAACUGUGUCCCUUGAGUGCGCGAAGGGUAGGCGGAAUGCGUGGUGUAGCGGUGAAAUGCAUAGAUAUCACGCAGAACUCCGAUCGCGAAGGCAGCCUACCGGCGCGCAACUGACGCUCAUGCACGAAAGCGUGGGUAUCGAACAGGAUUAGAUACCCUGGUAGUCCACGCAGUAAACGAUGAAUGCUAUCUGUCCGGCCGGAAU